rfam:Camelus ferus unplaced genomic scaffold scaffold781, whole genome shotgun sequence.
GAGGGUAUAGCUUAAGUGGUAGAGCACAGGCUUACCAUACAUGAGGUCCUGGGUUCAAUCCCCAGUACCUUCU